AUAAAUGAGACACCUGGAGAAGAAGGAGAAGUAUAUGUAUGUAGCUGGAUGUUAUGUUGAUGGUGGUGGCUGUUAAUAAAAAAACCGAACACAGUGAACUCGCGUGGAAGUGUUUACAUUUUAUGUCUGUAAGAGACAGUAACAGACAUUACAUGGUGUCAGAAGAGCCUGUGUGUCUGUAAGGAAAAGAAGAUAUGUCAAAGUUCAACCCGCCGAGUGAAUUUAAGUUCGCGAGCCCAGCGGAAUGGCCGGAGUGGAAACAACGAUUUUGCCGCUACCGGUUGGCCACGAAGCUAAGCAAAGAAGACGGC